rnacentral:rRNA from 1 species
UACGAAGGGGGCUAGCGUUAAUCGGAAUUACUGGGCGUAAAGCGUGCGCAGGCGGUUUUGUAAGUCAGAUGUGAAAUCCCCGGGCUUAACCUGGGAACUGCGUUUGAAACUACAAGGCUAGAGUGUGGCAGAGGGGGGUGGAAUUCCACGUGUAGCAGUGAAAUGCGUAGAGAUGUGGAGGAACACCGAUGGCGAAGGCAGCCCCCUGGGUUAACACUGACGCUCAGGCACGAAAGCGUGGGGAGCGAACAGG